UGCGGUCACACUGGUAACACGGAACGCGGCAAAAACGACGAAAUUUCAUGAAAUAAAUAAUUGCGAAAUCAUCAAUAAAAGUCAAAGUGGUUUUGGCAACAAACGUGCGCAGAGAAUUUAACUGUGAAAGUGAAAACGUGACAGUACGAAGAACGAAACGAACGAACGAGGCAAGCAAAACAAAAAACCCGCGUGUGUGUGUAAAAAUAAAAAGACGGAAAACAGAAACGCAGCAGAACACAAGAGAGAGAAAGGAAAAAAAAAAGAUAAAAAUAAUCAACGAACGAAGGGACAAGGUAGCCCUCAGGCGAAUACAAGGAGAACAACAAAAAACACAAAAAACAACAUCGAAAAUUGACAGAUACAACUUGGGGUUUUUUUUUUGAGGCAUUCAAU